ACUAUUUUGGCAGAUUAGUGCAAUAAAUUUAGAAUUUAUUUAUGUGGUUUUUCACAAAUAGUA
rnacentral:tRNA from 1 species